rnacentral:rRNA from 1 species
CGCAGCGAAAUGCGAUAACUAAUGUGAAUUGCAGAAUUCAGUGAAUCAUCGAAUCUUUGAACGCACAUUGCGCCCCCUGGUAUUCCGGGGGGCAUGCCUGUUCGAGCGUCAU